UGUAGAUGGCAGUAGCAAAAAAAAAAAACGAGAGAAAAGAGAGUAGAGAAAAACAAGAGAAAAGAGAAGAAGAGGCAGCAGAGUAGUCUGUGUUCUUUCUUCGAUUUCCAGUUCGUUCACCGUUGGAUCGGGCUGAGAUUUUGACAGUAGCUUCUAGACACGUUCCUCUUCAUUCUAGACGGUUGGAUCGAAGAUUGGUAGUGUGAAAACUGGCCGUUUUGACAGAAAACGGGGCUAUCAGUUUUGUGAACUAUUUGGCUGGUCAACAGUAAAAUUAAGCAUGACCUUUUGCCAUCAAGCGACGUAUUCGACCUACCCUUUGAAGUAAACGAUGAUGUGUAGCAGUACAAUUGUGAGAAGUUUCUGGUUGCUGUCUCACACAAGACAUGAUAAUCCCAGAUGAGUGUUCAUGAUCCGUCAAGCUCCAAGAAAUUGUUUUAUCUUGAAGAAUCAACUUCUUUGCAUGAUGGAUCCUGAGCAAAAACCUUCUAUUUUGGAGUUGAAAAUUACAAUAAUAUCCACUUUGUCGGAGGUGAAAAAAAGAAGAAAAGAAAGUCAAGCUCUGUUGAAAAUUGUGUGUGAUAAUUGAAAGGACAUUUCACCAAACAAGGCACUAUAAAAAAUACACACAGCAUUAUUUAGAGUUUAGUGGUUUGGUAAUCAUUGCGCAACCAUACGACGACAGCAAAAAAGAGGUGGCCGGCAGCCAAGACGUCCAGCCAACAUUGAGUCAUGGUCCGGCUCAACAGGCCUAUUAGCCCGUGAAAGCUAGCUUCUUUUGAGCUUUGUCAAUUAGUCAAUUUAAUUUUUUAAUCUAAUUAUACCAAGGUAUUAAUGCUCA